UACGGAGGGUGCAAGCGUUAUCCGGAUUCACUGGGUUUAAAGGGUGCGUAGGUGGCUUUGUAAGUCAGUGGUGAAAUCUUAGAGCUUAACUCUAAAACUGCCAUUGAUACUGCUUAGCUUGAAUCAAGUAGAGGUGGAUGGAAUAAUACAUGUAGCGGUGAAAUGCUUAGAUAUGUAUUAGAACACCGAUUGCGAAGGCAGUUCACUAUGCUGUAUUGACGCUGAGACGCGAAAGCGUGGGGAGCAAACAGG
rnacentral:rRNA from 1 species